UCAAGUUUCUGCCCUAUCAGCCGUGUUGGUAGUGUAUUGGACUACCAAAGCAGUAACGGGUAACGAAGAAUUUGGGUUCGAUUUCGGAGAGGGAGCCUGAGAAAUGGCUACCACAUCCAAGGAAGGCAGCAGGCGCGUAAAUUACCCAAUCCUGACUCAGGGAGGUAGUGACAAUAAAUCACAAUGCGGAACAUUUGUUUUGCAAUUGGAUUGAGAACAACGUAAAACUCAUAUCGAUAAACAAGUGGAGGGCAAGUCUGGUGCCAGCAGCCGCGGUAAUUCCAGCUCCACUGGCGUAUAUUAACGUUGUUGCAGU
rnacentral:rRNA from 1 species